UACGUAGGGGGCAAGCGUUGUCCGGAAUUAUUGGGCGUAAAGAGCGUGUAGGCGGUCCGGUAAGUCAGCUGUGAAAGUCAAGGGCUCAACCCUUGAAUGCCGGUUGAUACUGUCGGGCUAGAGUCCGGAAGAGGCGAGUGGAAUUCCCGGUGUAGCGGUGAAAUGCACAGAUAUCGGGAGGAACACCAAUGGCGAAGGCAGCUCGCUGGGACGGUACUGACGCUGAGACGCGAAAGCGUGGGGAGCAAACAGG
rnacentral:rRNA from 1 species